AGGAGCAAAUCUUUAAUGGAAAAAUAUUAUAAUAAGCAAUAUAAACAACAAAAUACCUCCACAGCUAGGGUUCAAUCAGUACCUGGAUAAAGAUCCCUACCUUCUCACAGGCAUUCUCCCUUCUCUGCCACCCCAGUAGCCCGUCUGUAACUCUCCCCAUGAGCACUUGUAAAAAGAAAGAGGAAAAUUAAACUGGAGUUAACAUCUCCAGGGACUGCCCUUGCCCCAUCAGAGUCUACUUCAGGAGACAAGACUCUUGAGCGUGUCAGUUGAAACUACUAUCCCUUAACAUCCAUGUAAGCUCUGCAGAAAUCGCCACACUUAGGGUAAUUACUAAUGGGCACAGCAUGAGCUCAGCAUUGCGUAAUUAUUAAUAGCAGGUUAUAUGUAGCUGGACUAUACAGUUUGCCUUGCUGUUUGUUAAACAGGGUAUCAUGAGUAUUAGUGCUUCUUCAGACUUGGUGAAAGGCAGCUACUUGUGGGUUUUAUUGUUAUUUAUGAAAUGAGAAAUAUUUUUACAUUUACUAUGGUGGAUUUAUCCCGCCUGAUGCAUUGGAAUUUUACCUGCUGUAUCUAGAUAUUAUUGAUAGUUGUUUAGUAAACCUAUGAGCCUGUGGAAUGUGAAAAGCCACCUGUCUGUAUGUAUGCAGUACUGUUGCACGCUACUUUGGCAGUCCUCCAGCAGCUAUCUCACACUGCUUUAUGGGCAACUGUUACCAACCUGUCUGUGUACCUCUGUGCCCUCCUCUGGUGUCGAGUUGCCAGGAUGCCCCCCUCUCCCAUUUUAAAACAGACACAGGGCCAGAUUUUGUCUAUUUGCUGCUGGAUUUGAGUAUUUUAGCAUUGCUGCAAUAUUACUCCAGAAACUCCACAAUAUGCCUCGCACAGCCUGUUGGAGCUGUGCUGAGACACUGGAUCUCAUCGCCAUCUAAGGAGAAGCCUCAGUGCAGGAAGCUCUUGUGGCCAGUCACUGCAAUAAAGACCUUUUUGUGGACAUUGCUAACAGAUGGCCACGACGGGCCACAACCAGAAGGAUGACCAGUGCAGGAUAAAUAGCAAACAGCUCAGGAGAACCUAUAUUCAAACCAGGAUGGCAGAAAAUGAUCCAGGAGUAGAUAUGUGUCCUAUCCACUUUUGGAGGAUCUGGACAGGAUUUUGCACUGUUACACAAUCUCCCAAACCAGGGAGGCUGUGGAACCUGCUACCGUAGCUUUUCCCCAUCCUGAGGAUGACCAGCGAGACUCUUCAGAGGAGGAACUCGAGGAGGCCAUUGAAGAGCUUAGGUUCUCUAGGUUCCCAGAGAGUUAGGUUCUCUUUGGGACAACAGGACCUGAUGCCAGCCUGGAAGAAGGUAACCCUGAUUGCUGCUGUAUAACAACUAAGCCCAAUUCCCAGCCAGCAAUCUCGGCCAGGACUGAAGAGGGAGAUCCUGUGGAGAGAACCUCACCAUCCAUGGCACCUGCAGUGGCCAGACCUUCAAGGACGGGAUCUUUAUUUACAGCUGAGCUGCUGGCUAACCUGCAGGGGAGAAAAUGGAAGACUCAGGACAAAAAUGUUUUGGACCUCAUCAAAGUCCUAAAAUAAAACCAGAAGAGCGGAGAGACAGAGACGUUAUUUGAAAAUGGAGAGGGAAAAAGAGAACGAGCUCUACAGGGAGAUCAUAGGAUCCAGAGAGAGUAUGGUCAAGGGCAGCAUGACAGUUUUGAGGGAGAACGGUGCUGUGGCCAAAGACAGUAUUGACAAAGAAUGGGAGAUGCAGAGCCAACUUCUGGAGGCAAUGUAAAGCCUAAAUGCUCUGCUGCAACACAUGUUGAUGUAGGGCAGCAGGUGCUGCAAGUGUCAUACAGCAGGACUCAGCCUUGUUCUGCAGCCCCUACAUAAGAGAUCUGGGAACAGCAGCAACUCCUCCCAACUGUAGCCCCACACCCUGGGCAGUCCUCCUAGUGUCCAUUCCCUUCCCAGAGGCAGAUCUGGGCACUGAGAACAGUUGCACAUGGAAGCAAGGUUGUUUUGAGCCUUCUAGCUCCCCCGGUAACUUUGUGCCUUGCCACUCAAUUCCAGAAGACCCUUGAACAAGAUGAAACAGAGGCAAGGUUUAUACUUCCCUGUGACUUUAAGCCACCCUCCCCCUUGUUUUGUUUUAUACUGCACUUUUGCACUUUCCGUUUUUACUUCACUAUUGUUUUAAUUAAAGGUUUAUUUUAAGUUGUUAGU